GCCCAUCCGUCCCUAGCUCUAGGUUUAGUUGGGCCUCAGGAUAGCUGCGAGCCCGGGAUGGCCUUUGUAUCCUGGCUUGCUGCUUUGGCUUGGCCCAACCGCCAGGGCAGAGCAGUUGACGAGUCAUUGCACGGGAGCUGAGGUGCCACCUGUCGGCCGCCCCGUCACGUCAUGUUGCGCCUUGAUGGUGUAGGCCAUGCAUGCACAUCGCGCUUUUGGCAUGCGUGUUUCCAGCGCUGCUGCAGGGGCUAAGCCCACCACCCCGUGCAGUUGCUCGAAUAGGACGGUUGGCCUCCCUAGGGCUGCACCCUUAAAUCCACCACUUGUCCUCUCCCCUUCACUCUUCCCGCUUGCCUAUCCUUCCUCCAGCCAUUGCCUAGUAGCCGUGCUCGAGCAGCUAGGAGAACAAGAGAGAGAGAAGAGGGAGAGAGAAAGAGAGAGAAGAGGAGUUGUGGGAGUGACUCGGUGAGUCCCGCGGUCCACUCGCGCGCAUUCCCUCCGGUUUGUCGGCGCUGCUAUCUCUGCUUCUUCCCCAGCGAUGGGUUCGUGGGUUCCUUUGGUGGUGACAAAGGCAAAACUACAGCAGCUGGUCGCCGCGGGCUGCCUCCUGCUGAAGGAGGUGGCUAGGUGGCGCACUGCUGCAGGAGAGCAGUUCCCACAGUCCUAGCCCGGGAAGACUGUCUCCAUCCUCAAGUCCACCCCCGGGGGUUCGGGCUGCCGGCGCACCCCUUCCUCUGAGGCUUCCUCCAUGAGCACGGGAUCGAGCUGCAGCAUUUCAACCCCAACGGGUUGCUGCAGCUCGCCGGCUUCAUGACGGUGUGCGAGGGUUUCCUCGGCAUCGCCCCCCAUGCGUCACUCUUCUGUGGGAUCUUUGAGGUCCGAUAGCGGAAGGUGAGCUCCAGCGACGACGAGCUCACGCCGUUAGGCAGUGUCACUAUCCAGAUGUGUCUUGGGUACGCGUCUUGAGUACGUGGACAAGUACCCGAAGAUCAAAGCGAAAAAAUCCAAUCGGGGCUAGCAUUCUACAUCCGUGAUGAUGGCUACGGCUUUGAGGAAGGCGCCAGGAAGUUGCCGGCGUUCAUCGGUGGACGCCCUGUAUGAAAGGAGUCAUGGAGGUGGGGCUGCCCGGAUGAGCACAACAGGAAGGUCAACCAAAUCAUCGAGGUGCCGGCGGGGCUGAUGCGAGCCGGUGUGAACGGUGUGAGGGUCAUCUGGACCUCCAUCAAGCGGCGGAUGCAGAUGCUCAAGAAGAGGUCCCACGCCUUCUUCAAGUACUCUAGGGAAGCGGACAACUCUAGGGAAUGCAUAGAAAGCCUCCUCGACCACAAGAAGCGCGGGUGCAGGAGCUGAUAGACAUUCGGCGAGCCAGUGCCCCCGGUCCUGGUGGGGCACCCGCGGGCCUUCUCAAGGGAAUCCUCCCCCCUGCCUGGUGAGUUCAUGAACUCUUCUCUUUCCAUUCCUUGUAUUUCUUGCGAGCGCACGGAGGCCCAAGCUGUUGUUGGUGCGCAGGGGCUCGGGCGAACGGUGUCCCGGUUUCGCGACCCGGACGGUAACCCCGAGGGUGCCGAAUGGGCUUCUACUAAGCUUUGUGCUGCUUAAGAGCGGCGGCGUAAAUGUGAUAGGGAGGCCCGUGCUUGGGAGGAGAAAAUUCAUGAGACCGUGAGGUGACACCUCGCGCGUCGCAACGCGUAGGUUGGCAUCCGACGAGGAUGAGAAGGAGGAAGAAGAGGAGGAGGAGGAGGAGGAGGAGGAGGACAAGAAUGAGAGUGUGAGCGAGGGCGCGCCCGUCCUCGACAUUCCAUCUAACUCGAAGCCUUCUCUUGGUCUUCUAGUUGCCCUUCCUGACCCCCUUCCCCCAACCUUUGAUGAUGGGGAGGUCGGGACUGGAGCGAAGGGAGGCGGAAGUGCCGUCCCGCACUGGACCAUGCGUCCCAGAAAUAGGCCGCUGACACCUCGAGUGCCGAACCGAGCACAAAGUGCGCUCGGGCCUACUCCAGUUGAGGGGUCGAUCGACCUUCCCUGCGCUUGGAUGGUUGUCACUUCAGGAGAUUGUGGUCGCCCGCUGUUUGGGGUCGUGGUUCGGGAGCCCCCAAGUAGCUGCCGCCACCACCGCCCGAUGCUCCGCCCAACAUGGCACGGUGGUUAGUGUCCCUUCCUUCUCCCGAUGGUAGGUCGGGCUCGAAGGGUGGUGGCCACCAGCCGGUCAUGGCGGGUGCAUUCUCAGCGAGCGGGGGCUCAAAUGAGGCUCCCGCUGCUGGCAGGGGCUCCGCGCUGGCCCAGCGACCUAGCACCGAUGUGUCGCGCUCAGGGACAGAUCUUGUGCCAGCAGGCACUGUGUCAGCACUGCCAUGUUAGGCGUCGAAGUGUGCAGCAGCCGCGAUCCCCCGCCAAGGUCGGAGGCGCCAGCGGUAGCCCUACCUUUGCAGGAUUCCGAGGAUGCUGCCGCAACUUCCCAGCCUAUGGUAGGUUGGGCGGCAGUGCGUGAAGUCCCCGAGGGCGACCCCUGGGGUGAUGUCGCAGCCCAGGACAUCCCCUCUCCCCCCCGCCGCCACCUCGCCCUCAAUUGGGCGGCCAGCCUUGCAGCACCGUACGACACCCCUUCCUCUGCGGUGAUCUGACAGGGAGUUUGUUCGCGGUCUCGCGGUGUCACCCGCGUCGGUGGGCUUUGUGGGGUUGAUUAUCCGGCUAUCGCCGGCCACUGGUGAUGGAACUGGCAGGGCAGCUCCGGUUGCUCCUGCAAGUGCCCCGCGUGUCACUGUGGCCCUUCCACCACCGUUGUUGGUCGCUCUGCUGCCCUUUGCUACUCCUUUAGAGGGGGAGGGUGAAAGCUCGACGGCCGUGGAGGCUCGGACAGCGACUCCGGAUGUGGUGGUUCUGGCGGACUCCUCGUCGUCAGAAGUGGCCAUUGGUGAUGGCGACGCAGAGGCGGUGUCCAAGCAGUCAGUGACGCUUGAUGAGGCCGCACCCAACCACGCCGUCCAACUUCAGGUGGCUCUAGCUGGGCCAGCGCUGGCGCUAGGCAGGGGCCCGACACUCACCUGGGAGGAUCCCUGGCGCCCGGGCAAGGCACUGUUUGCCCUCGAUGAUGUACCGGAAAUGGCGUCGUGGGGGAGCGCGCUCAGGCAUAGGUGCUGAGCGCGCGACGAGCUCGCCAAGGCUUGGGAGGUGCUCAGCGAGGCUAUGGGGCGUUGAGCGGUGCCUUUGGGGUGAUGGACACGCAAGUUCAUGCGCGGACAGGAGCUAAUGGACAUUUCAGCGAUGAAGUCGUGGUUCUUGCACGCCAUGAUUCAGCUGCAGGUAGGGGAGGUUGCAGAUCAGCGAAGGCUGGAAGAGGAGCUGGCCACAUUGGGGGGUUGCACACACCGAUAUGGAGUGGCUUCUGAAGGCCUUAGCCGCAGCCAAGUCGGAGGGAUAGACAGUGCGUGAGUCGGAGCAUGUACCCUCCUUGUUGCUGCUGAGAUGGCUUUGGCGGCCGAGGCCACAAAGAAGGAGGCUCAGAAGCGCACCUCCUGGGAAGUGGAGUUGGCAGCCGAGCUCGCUCGCCAAGUGGAGGAGAUGGCGACACGUGUGGCAGCACUAGAGCAUGCUGCGCAAGGGGCGGAGAAUGUGUGCGCUGCAGCUGAGCAGGCGUGCUAGGCCAUUGACGUCGAGGUCUAGACCCUCUGGAAGUCCUAUAAUGGUCUGGUGACCGGCACCUGCUUGUAGGAAGUGGCUGGGGAGCUGGAGGCGCUCCGAGGCAUGUCGGAGGUGCUGUGGGCCCACCUAUCCAUGGGUAUGGCCCCAAAGGGCCCACUCAUGGAGUGGCUCGGGGCUGCCCGUGGUCGGGUGGAUGACCUGAUCGCGGAGGCGCUCUACCAGGGCGCCCACACGGCCUUCACCUUGGUCGCCACUCACUACGACGGCGUGGACUUUGCCGCCGUUGGGAGCCCUAUGCGAGGAAUCAGACCUCAAAGGAGCUGACACAUCUCGAGGAGAUGGUGGCCCUUGGUGCGCAGCAGCUGGUCAGGCGGACCUCUCCAGCCGUGAUUCGAGGCAAAGCCCUUCCCGAAGACCCUGCGAAGUAGAAAUUUUAGGCUUAUUUUUAUUCUGGCGUCAGGCACGCGGCCCUGUAAUGUACUUGGUGUUUUAGGUCAUGAAUUUUCUUCAAAAUUUGGUUCGUUUUUUGCACGUGCUUUGAACUUUGCCACUUUUCCUUGCGCAACGAAGUCCGGGGAAUGGCCCGCGGAAGACUUUGUUUUGCCCUUGUCAGUCAAGCGACACAGGUGUCGUAACAU